UAAAAAAAAAUUAACCUAGGA
rnacentral:piRNA from 1 species